GACGUAGGGCGCGAGCGUUGUCCGGAUUUAUUGGGCGUAAAGAACUCGUAGGCGGCUUGUCGCGUCGAAUGUGAAAUCUCAGGGCUCAACUCUGACAUUGCAUUCGAUACGGGCAGGCUAGAGUUCGGUAGGGGAGACUGGAAUUCCUGGUGUAGCGGUGAAAUGCGUAGAUAUCGGGAGGAACACCAGUGGCGAAGGCGGCAUCCUGGACCUGUCCUGACGCUCAGGGGCGAAAGCGUGGGGAGCAAACCGG
rnacentral:rRNA from 1 species